rnacentral:rRNA from 1 species
GACGAACGCUGGCGGCGUGCUUAACACAUGCAAGUCGAACGGAAAGGCCCUGCUUUUGUGGGGUGCUCGAGUGGCGAACGGGUGAGUAACACGUGAGUAACCUUCCCUUGACUUUGGGAUAACUUCAGGAAACUGGGGCUAAUACCGGAUAGGAGCUCCUGCUGCAUGGUGGGGGUUGGAAAGUUUCGGCGGUUGGGGAUGGACUCGCGGCUUAUCAGCUUGUUGGUGGGGUAGUGGCUUACCAAGGCUUUGACGGGUAGCCGGCCUGGGAGGGUGACCGGCCACAUUGGGACUGCGAUACGGCCCAGACUCCAACGGGAGGCAGCAGUGGGGAAUAUUGCACAAUGGGCGGAAGCCUGAUGCAGCAACGCCGCGUGCGGGAUGACGGCCUUCGGGUUGUAAACCGCUUUCGCCUGUGACGAAGCGUGAGUGACGGUAAUGGGUAAAGAAGCACCGGCUAACUACGUG